rnacentral:rRNA from 1 species
GCUAAGGUCCCCAAAUCAUCGCUAAGUGAUAAAGGAGGUGGGAGUGCACAGACAACUAGGAGGUUUGCCUAGAAGCAGCCAACCUUAAAAGAGUGCGUAAUAGCUCACUAGUCAAGCGCUCCUGCGCCGAAAAUGAACGGGGCUAAGCGAUGUACCGAAGCUGUGGACUUAGAUAUUGUCUAAGUGGUAGGGGAGCGUUCCGUCGUAGGUAGAAGCAGUAGCGGCAAGCAGCUGUGGACGAAACGGAAGUGAGAAUGUCGGCUUGAGUAGCGCAAAUGUAUGUGAGAAUCAUACACCCCGAAACCCUAAGGGUUCCAGAGCCAGGUUCGUCCACUCUGGGUUAGUCGGGACCUAAGGCGAGGCCGAACGGCGUAGUCGAUGGACACAGGGUCAAUAAUCCCUGACUAUGAUGUGGGAGCAUGACAAGGGACGCAUGAAAGAUAGCCAUACCCUGAUUGGUUUGGGAGGAGUUUACGAACUCCGCAUGGUGAUGCGAUUGUGCCAAGAAAAGCUGGUCAUGUGAUGAAGACAUCAUACCCGUACCCGAAACCGACACAGGUAGGGAGGUUGAG